rnacentral:rRNA from 1 species
GAAUAUUGGACAAUGGGCGAAAGCCUGAUCCAGCCAUGCCGCGCGUGUGAAGAAGGUCUUCGGAUUGUAAAGCACCUUUAGUUGGGAGGAAGGGCAGUAAGCGAAUACCUUGCUGUUUUGACUUUACCGACAGAAUAAGACACGGCUAACUCUGUGCGCGCCGCCGCGGUAAUACAGAGGGUGCAAGCGUUAAUCGGAAUUACUGGGCGUAAAGCGCGCGUAGGUGGUUCGUUAAGUUGGAUGUGAAAUCCCCGGGCUCAACCUGGGAACUGCAUCCAAAACUGGCGAGCUAGAGGAGGGCAGAGGGUGGUAGAAUUUCCUGUGUAGCGGUGAAAUGCGUAGAUAUAGGAAGGAACACCAGUGGCGAAGGCGACCACCUGGGCUCAUACUGACACUGAGGUGCGAAAGCGUGGGGAGCAAACA